rnacentral:rRNA from 1 species
AUUGAACGCUGGCGGCAUGCCUAACACAUGCAAGUCGAACGGAAACACGACUAGGGUUUUCUACUACUGGUGGCGGGGGGCGUAAGACUUCGGAAUGUAUCCGAUCCUUGUGAAUCACGGGGCAAAACGUUUGAUAAUACCUCAUACGAUCUACUACUUACAACAGGAGACCGCAAUGGCUUUCGCGGGCUUUGCUGUCGAUGUCAGAUUAGUUCGUUGGUGGUGUAAUAGCUUACCAAGUCGACGAUCUGUAGCUGGUCUGAGAGGAUGAUCAGCCACACUGGAACUGAGACACGGUCCAGACUCCUACGGGAGGCAGCAGUGGGGAAUAUUGGACAAUGGGCGAAAGCCUGAUCCAGCAAUGCCGCGUGAGUGAUGAAGGCCUUCGGGUUGUAAAACGCUUUUGUUAGGAAAGAAAAGCAGUCUAUUAAUACAUGAAGGUCAUGACGGUACCGAAAGAAUAAGCACCGGCUAACUACGUG